AUGCACGCUAGCGGCAGGCUUCACACAUGCACGUCGAGGGGCAGCGCGGGAUAGCAAUAUCCUGGCGGCGACCGGCGGAAGGGUGCGUAACGCGUGAGCGACAUGCCCGUUGCCCGGGGACAACCGGUGGAAACGCCGACUAAUCCCCGAUGGGAUAUUGUGCCGCAUGGCACGAUAUUGAAAGUUACGGCGGCGACGGAUUGGCUCGCGUCCGAUUAGCUUGUUGGCGGGGUAACGGCCCACCAAGGCUGCGAUCGGUAGGGGUUCUGAGAGGAAGGCCCCCCACAAUGGGACUGAGACACGGCCCAUACUCCUACGGGAGGCAGCAGUGAGGAAUAUUGGUCAAUGGGCGGAAGCCUGAACCAGCCAUGCCGCGUGCGGGAAGGAGGCCCUAUGGGCUGUGAACCGCUUUUGCCUGGGGGCAAUAAGGGCGUCGCACACGUCCGAUGAGAGUACCAGGCGAAUAAGCAUCGGCUAACUCCGUG
rnacentral:rRNA from 1 species